rnacentral:rRNA from 1 species
UACGAAGGGUGCAAACGUUGCUCGGAAUUAUUGGGCGUAAAGCGCACGUAGGCGGCUUGGCAAGUCGGAUGUGAAAUCCCUCGGCUCAACCAAGGAAGUGCAUCCGAAACUGCUAAGCUUGAGUACUUAAGAGGAUCGCGGAAUUCCCGGUGUAGAGGUGAAAUUCGUAGAUAUCUGGAGGAACACCGGUGGCGAAGGCGGCAUCCUGGACCAACACUGACGCUGAGUGAGCGAAAGCCAGGGGAGCAAACGGG